AUUGAACGCUGGCGGCAGGCCUAACACAUGCAAGUCGAGCGAGCGGCGGACGGGUGAGGAAUAUAUGGGGAACUGCCCGAUAGAGGGGGAUAACUACGGGAAACGGUGGCUAAUACCGCAUACUAUCGGAGGAAUCCACAUGGGAUUAGCUAGUAGGUGGGGUAAAGGCUCACCUAGGCGCCGAUCCCUAGCUGGUCUGAGAGGAUGAUCAGCCACACUGGAAAUGAGAAACGGCCCAGACUCCUACGGGAGGCAGCAGUGGGGAAUAUUGCACAAUGGGCGCAAGCCUGAUGCAGCCAUGCCGCGUGUAUGAAGAAGGCCUUAGGGUUGUAAAGUACUUUCAGCGGGGAGGCGUUACCCGCAGAAGAAGCACCGGCUAACUCCGUGCCAGCAGCCGCGGUAAUUC
rnacentral:rRNA from 1 species